CCCCUCUCGGGAUAGCACCUGGAGAGUUUCCAGUCCUCUACCAGUCACGGCUAUGGGAAGGAGAGUCAAGAAGAGGCAUACCCAUUCCAUUUCUGGCUUGAUCAGUGGUUAGUGAGUGGAAGGCAAUCUGCUACAAGU